UACGGGGGGGGUAAGCGUUGUUCGGAAUUACUGGGCGUAAAGGGCUCGUAGGCGGCCAACUAAGUCAGACGUGAAAUCCCUCAGCUUAACUGGGGAACUGCGUCUGAUACUGGAUGGCUUGGAUUCGGGAGAGGAAUGCGGAAUUCCAGGUGUAGCGGUGAAAUGCGUAGAUAUUGGGAGGAACACCGGUGGCGAAGGCGGCCCCCUGGACCGGUACUGACGCUGAGGCGCGAAAGCGUGGGUAGCAAACGGG
rnacentral:rRNA from 1 species